AAAUACAGUUAAAGUAAAGUAAGGCACCAGAUUCUGUCUGAUCUUGGAAGCUAUGCAGUGUGAUCCCUGGCUAGUAUUUGGAUGGGAGACUGUCAAUGAAUACCAGUUGCUGUAGGUU
rnacentral:rRNA from 11 species